AACAUUGGCGUCGCUCAAAUUGUCGCGGCAUCUUGGUCGAACAACCAUGGCGCGCCGGCUCCCACCCCAGCGAUUACGGCUGUUGACGCACCCGCGGCCGCCGCGGUGCUGCGAAUGGGGUCCUUCAUGCUAAGGAUCCGUGCUGUGAAGGCGAAAACAGCCAGAUUGACGAUUCGCCUAAGCAUAAAUAUAAAUUCAGAUGGCAGCGUUGCGAUUCAUGCUGCUUUAGGAUAACUCACAAGCGAUUUCUCUAUUCUUCUAAUUAAUGUGGAUUUACUGAUCCGUUCAUGUGAUUGUUACUGAUGCAAUCACUACUCCAGUAGUUAUUACAUCUGCAUACUUCUUCAAGAAGACUGCUGAUCUCAUUGACUCAAAGUUUUAGGUGAGGCGGACGGCUUUAAAGAUGACAAACGAGUUAUUUUACACACAAGUUCCGUUGAAGAGUGAUGAAUUGUGAAGAAUUGAAGGUUUUAGUUAUUUAAUUCUUUAUUGUGAUAGAUUUUUAUCUUCCUACUCCAUGAUUUAAUGUUUAAACAUUAUAUUAUGUGAUUUAUUUCAAAUUUA